GAUGAACGCUGGCGGCGUGCCUAAUACAUGCAAGUCGAGCGAACAGACGAGGAGCUUGCUCCUCUGACGUUAGCGGCGGACGGGUGAGUAACACGUGGAUAACCUACCUAUAAGUCUGGGAUAACUUCGGGAAACCGGAGCUAAUACCGGAUAAUAUAUUGAACCGCAUGGUUCAAUAGUGAAAGACGGUUUUGCUGUCACUUAUAGAUGGAUCCGCGCCGCAUUAGCUAGUUGGUAAGGUAACGGCCUACCAAGGCAACGAUGCGUAGCCGACCUGAGAGGGUGAUCGGCCACACUGGAACUGAGACACGGUCCAGACUCCUACGGGAGGCAGCAGUAGGGAAUCUUCCGCAAUGGGCGAAAGCCUGACGGAGCAACGCCGCGUGAGUGAUGAAGGUCUUCGGAUCGUAAAACUCUGUUAUUAGGGAAGAACAAAUGUGUAAGUAACUAUGCACGUCUUGACGGUACCUAAUCAGAAAGCCACGGCUAACUACGUG
rnacentral:rRNA from 1 species